rnacentral:sRNA from 1 species
GUCACGGAGGACUGCAGGGGCCUGAGCCGCUGCUGCCGCCGCCGCCGCGCAGCCCCACAUCAACGCACCGGGGUCCUGUCACCGCCACCGCCAAAAAAGUCACCGCCGCUAGGGUCGCCGUUGCAUCGGUGCAGGGCAAGAUGGCAUCCGCCACAGACUCGCGCUAUGGGCAGAAGGAGUCCUCGGAUCAGAACUUCGACUACAUGUUCAAGAUUCUCAUCAUCGGCAACAGCAGCGUGGGCAAGACGUCCUUCCUCUUCCGCUAUGCUGACGACUCGUUCACGCCUGCCUUCGUCAGCACCGUGGGCAUCGACUUCAAGGUCAAGACCAUCUAUCGCAACGACAAGAGGAUCAAGCUGCAGAUCUGGGUGGGUCCCAGCUGGAGGGCUCCCGCCCGGCUCGGCUGGACUCCCGUACUUGGAAAAGCAGCCCCAACCUCGUCUAUCUCUUUCCUGACUGGAGUCAUUCACUUACACACUGGGCAUUUAUCAGGUGCCCACUGUGUACCAGGGGCAGAAACAGCACCUGUGUUCUCCCAUA